rnacentral:rRNA from 1 species
AUUGAACGCUGGCGGCAGGCCUAACACAUGCAAGUCGGACGGUAGCACAGAGGAGCUUGCUCUUCGGGUAACGAGUGGCGGACGGGUGAGUAAUGUCUGGGAAACUGCCCGAUGGAGGGGGAUAACUACUGGAAACGGUAGCUAAUACCGCAUAACGUCGCAAGACCAAAGUGGGGGACCUUCGGGCCUCACACCAUCGGAUGUGCCCAGAUGGGAUUAGCUGGUAGGCGGGGUAACGGCCCACCUAGGCGACGAUCCCUAGCUGGUCUGAGAGGAUGACCAGCCACACUGGAACUGAGACACGGUCCAGACUCCUACGGGAGGCAGCAGUGGGGAAUAUUGCACAAUGGGCGCAAGCCUGAUGCAGCCAUGCCGCGUGUAUGAAGAAGGCCUUCGGGUUGUAAAGUACUUUCAGCGGGGAGGAAGGUGCUGAGGUUAAUAAGCUCAGCAGUUGACGUUACCCGCAGAAGAAGCACCGGCUAACUCCGUGCCAGCCGCCGCAGUAA